UGGGGAAUAUUGCACAAUGGGCGCAAGCCUGAUGCAGCCAUGCCGCGUGUGUGAAGAAGGCCUUCGGGUUGUAAAGCACUUUCAGCGAGGAGGAAGGUGGUGAGCUUAAUACGCUCAUCAAUUGACGUUACUCGCAGAAGAAGCACCGGCUAACUCCGUGCCAGCAGCCGCGGUAAUACGGAGGGUGCAAGCGUUAAUCGGAAUUACUGGGCGUAAAGCGCACGCAGGCGGUUUGUUAAGUCAGAUGUGAAAUCCCCGGGCUCAACCUGGGAACUGCAUUUGAAACUGGCAAGCUAGAGUCUCGUAGAGGGGGGUAGAAUUCCAGGUGUAGCGGUGAAAUGCGUAGAGAUCUGGAGGAAUACCGGUGGCGAAGGCGGCCCCCCUGGACGAAGACUGACGCUCAGGUGCGAAAAGCGUGGGGCAGCAAACAGGAUUAGAUACCCUGGUAGUCCAGCGCUGUAAAACGAUGUCGAUUUGGAGGUUGUGCCCUUGAGGCGUGGCUUCCGGAGCUAACGCGUUAAAGUCGACUGCCUGGGGGAGUACGGCCGCAAGGUUAAAAACUC
rnacentral:rRNA from 1 species